GGGCCACUAGUCCAGAGAAGAUACUUGAUUUCGACUCAAGAGAUUGAGGUGCAAAUCCUCAGUGGCCCU
rnacentral:tRNA from 1 species